GGCCGCCCCCGCGGGCGCCGGGCUCGUACCUCUCGCACUUGGUGAACUUGCGGAAGGCCUGGCGCAGGUCGUGGAAGGAGCGGCGCUGCUCCAGCUCGCGGAUCCUCUCCUCCUUCAGCAGCAGCAGCUUAGCAAAGUCGCCCUCCAGCUCGCUCAUGGUGCCGGGCUGCUCAUGUGUGUGGUAUAGCAGCCUAGCUGGUUGUACUGGAACGGCCUGGUCACGAGCGCUGCUACUUGGAUGCCCUCGGACACCAGAAUCGCAACAAGAUACCGAGCUUCAGAGGCAGGGCUGAAAUUGGUGUGCCCUGUUUUGCUCGCCAGCCAAAAGACGACCAACGCGAAGGUGUUAAGUGCAAGAUGCUACUGAUGACUUGAGCUGCCUGCUGACCACCUCCAAUGGUGCCGCAACCUCAACCAAGCAGCUGCCCAUUUUAAGGUAAAGCAUCUUGCCCCUGAAGCAGAGAAGAGCAAGCAGAGGAAGGAAAAAGAGAGAAAUCCUGGCCAACAGCCUACUCUCCUUUGCAGAAAGACCUGCAACUUUUGCAAACAGGUCUGUGGCUCAAGAAUUGGAUUCUUAAGUCACUUCAAGACCCAUCAAUAGUAGAAAUCAUCCUCAAAUCAAGGGAUUGCUGAUGAGACCGUGCUCCAUCCUUUUCACUCACGCCAGCUGAUACAAAGGAGUGCUGAGAACUGUUGUGGCAGUUUCCAGUGCCCUUUAAACUUUAUUGAUAGUAGAUCAGGGUGGGCAAAAUGCAGCCCAGGGGCCAGAUGCAGCCCACAAGGCCAUUCUAUCUGGCCUGCAAGGCCCCUAAAAAAUUUAGAAAAUUAAUAUUUAUUCGCCCCUGGCUGCCUAUCAUGCGGCACUAGAUGGCUUGCCAAAACUCAGUAAGUGGCCCUCUGCCCAAAAUAACUGCCUGCCACUGUAGUAGAUACUGUUUGCCACUUGGAAAAAAUAGAGGAUGCCUCAAAUACAGCACCAAAAAGGAUAAGCAUGGUUUCACCUUUCAGAAAUACACACUUAAAUGAAAUUGCUUAAAAAUUCAUCAAGCACUAACAGGGCUCCAGUGAUGUAAUUGUAUGGAAGAGGUGGGGAGUAGAUAGAUACUUCAGCUGAGAACAUAGAUAAAUCUAUGAAACAAUACAUUUUGCCAACUCUUAUUCUGAAAGUGUCUCUUGAUGAUUUAUCAGUUUACUACUGAAAUUUACAAACAACAUUACUCCUUCUCCCCCCCACACUUGUCCCGUCUAAACGGGGUCACUGCUGUGGAUCCUGGCAGUCUGCCAGCUUCGAUCAUAUGCAUCUAUGAAUAACAUUACUAUUGAAUCAAAUUACACCUUACAUCCCCACCUAAAAUAGGAGUAUCUAUAUUGUAAUACAAGAUGUUGUUGAAUAAUUUCUACUUAAUAAAGCUACUUAACUCUAGAUACAAAGGUAUUGUGUUCUAGGUACAUAGUUGUUUCUCCUGUUAUACCAAUGUUUUUAAUACUACAACAGCAGUAUAUGCUUUUAAUACUACAAAAGCCACAAAUAUUGGCUGGAAGAGUUCUUGAAAAUGUAUAUGUUGAUUCUGUAGCUAGAGAAUUCUGUAUAUAUUUGUAGUAAAUGUAUUGAUAGGCUAUAAGCAUUAUCACAGUGCAUGGAAACAUACUCCUAGCUCUUAUUACCACUUCAUUUUUGCUAAGCUAGAUUCUCUUAUAUAGGAAAAAACAUAUGCAACUGUACUGAUGUCAGUGGGAUUUCCUAGGAUUUACAUCAGCAUAAAUACAAUCAGAAGUUGUAUAUAUGGUCUGUAGAAUACCUGUACUUAGUCCCAAACAACAAUAGCAAAUAUGCAUCUUUAGGGUGAAAUCCUAGCCCCUUUGAAGUCAAUGGGAGUUUUACCAGUGACCUUCAUGAGGUCAGGAUUUCAACCUUACCACAUAUGUUAGGAAUUGACCACUGCACAUACACUUUUAUGAAAACUUUAGAAGGAUACAUUACAACUGGAAAUCAUAUUUCUACAUGAAUAGUGUGUGCUUACUAUUGUUUCCAGUAAUCCCUUAAGAUAUAUCCAUAACAAAAAGAUGAAAGAGAAGGAUUUUUUCCACUUUUUAAGUUUCUUUAUAUUAGGCACAUGACUGCAGAUUGUGCAUUGUUAGUUUCACAGUUUUUGUGAAGGCCAUCUAGGAAAUUGCUCACCAGUAAUAUAAAUAAUAAAAUUCAAACAGAAAAGAUGACAAGUAGCAGGCAGGUAUAUGCAUGGAAAGAAAGAAUCUGAGACAGCUGGUAUUUCUGAUGCAAAGCCUAUCCAUAAAAAAUUCUGCACAUGAACAUGGAAGAAAGCUGGGAGAGAAAAAGAGGGGGUCAAAACAAACAAACAUAACACCUUACUUUUUCAAGCACUUUACAGAAAGAAGGCUAUUUUCAUUUUUCUAUUUUUAAACUUAGGAAAUGAAAGUUGGCAGUCUUCAUUUAGCUAUUUUUAAAUUCUCAUGAGAAAUUAAUUUUGCUUUAACUCACCCAAAUUUGCCAAUUGAAAUAUAUCUCUUAAAAGUUUUUUUAAAAAUCAGAAUUUAGAUUUUUUUUAAAAAAAUCAUAAAAAUAAGCUAGUAAUGGAGUUCUUUAAAGUUUUGUUUCACACUUGUUGAAACAGCAGAACUGGGAAUAAAUGUAAAUCUGUGACAGACCCCUGAAGCCCUCAUUUUGUUUCAUACUUAUUAAAAGGAAAACAGCGCCAUCUUGUGUACAACUAUAACUCAAGAUACACGCAAAUUGUUUUUUCUUUUUUGUCUCAACAGCAUGCGAAAUUGAAACCACAAAGCAGGUAAAAAGGUACACUUAUAAAGAAAUCGAAAAUAGCUUGCUGAUCAUUUUUAUUUCUUUUACUGUAUACGCUUAACUACAAUUUUAAAGGAACAAUUUUAUAAUUGUUUAGUGAGUAUAUUACUCAAUGCAAAAGAGAGAUAAUAAUUACUAUCCCUGUCCUUGAUGCAAAGCUUAGUUGAAAAACAUUUAAAACUAUAAAAUAUUUUUAAAAUAGAAGCUUAGGGUACAGCACUGCAGUUUGUAUUUGGGGAAAUAUUGUAUUGAAGUAAGUUGUAGUUCUGUAUAAAGCAAACCACUGGCAGAUGUUAAAUUAAAUGUGCAAUAGGAUCUGAUGCACAAACCCAACAGUCUUGCCUCCUGCCAUCCCACACAUGCAUGGCAGAAGGUGCAGUUGGUAGAAUUGAACCAUAUUUCAGGGGAAACCAGGGUUCAUGAUCCUGGUCUUCUCCUGCCCUGGCAAAUAGCAAGCUUGCCUCCCCAGCAUUCCUGUGACUGUAAGCCCCAGCUAGGUGACUGUGGGGGGAGCUCCUUAAGAGAACCAAGGGCUCCAUGUCCUCCCCUGGCUGGGAGCCCUGAUCAGCUGACUGGCACCCCUAGCCUCAGCAGGGCACUGGAGUUUUGAAAGGCUCCAGUGUGCUCCUGAGGGUGGAAGCAAUGGUCACAAGUUCAGUUUAAGGUGUAUGGGAACCAGCCAAAAAGUUAUUACACACAUGUUGUGUAAUAAAUUUAUGGUUUAUUCUCUGUUUUAUCGCAUCAUUAAUUGAAUGAACAUGUGACUGGGUCAAAGCUCAAGACAUGAUUAACAAGCGUAAGGUCUAUCAGGGGCCUUAGUACAGUACCAGAUAAUUGGAAGCAAGGCAGAUUGUCAACUUAAAGAUUUUUUUCUGUUUGGAUUUUGUGAAAUAUUUUUUCUUAAGUUCUUGUUUUUCAAAGAAAGUUUUAAAACAUAAUGCACCAGUUUAUAAAUUAGGUGGAAACUUGCACUACUAAUUCUCUUCUAGUAAUCUCUCUCCUUACUUCUGGAAAUGCCAGUGAAAUAAAACACCCAACAUGCAAUGGUCAAGAAUUCAGGUGUCAUCAGAGUCAAAUGAAGCUCCUCAAGGUUCCAUACAACCAUGGAAUAGGAGUGUGUGCCUGCCCUGAAGGACUUGCAACACAGAAGAUAAGACAGACAUUUGCCUAUACUUAGCAAAAUACAGUCUCUAAUCCUUGGCCUGAAGUUGUCUAUAGUUGUAUUAAUUUUGUAAAAAAAACUGCUAGCAAUUAGGUAUUUUAAAAUGUGUGUGUGUGAAAUUCUGGGACAAAUCACAAAAGCAAUGAAAUCUAGUUUCUGUUAGCAUCACCUUUUUAAAAAAAUUAUCAUUAAGCAUACCAUUUAGUGUUGGUUGUAUUUUGUGUACUGUGUUAAAUAUAGCAAUUCCAUGCCCUUGUUAGAAGAUAAAUGUAUCUGAAACUUUUGUGCUCUCCCUGAAGGGUAAAAAGAGUUUUGCCAAUGACUUGACAUGAUCAAACGCAUUAUUUAGGAGGAUAUACAGCAUUAUACAUCAUGAAGAGCCUCUUGAGCUCCACUGAGGUAUGCACUGUACCAUCUAUACAAUGCAUGUCCAUUUUCACCUUGAAAAACUGAAUACUACAUGCAAUUCCAGUUUAACUGAGUCACAUUAACCAUUUUAAAGACUGUUUUUUCCAAAAGCUUUCUUAAAACUACUCAUAGAGGAAACUGAAAAUAAAUAUAAGUGGUUUGA